CCCGCGCGCACUGCAUCUUCACUGUACGGUCACUCUAUACCUCACUCACACUUGCGGUUCAGGCGGCAACUUGUCGACGGAAGAGCGAAAACAACGCGCCGUCGUGUACCCGCCUCCCCUGAUCCCUCGUGCCAAGCGAGCCAAAACGCCAGCUCACCGUUGCAACGACCAACCGACCGACCGAGCCCGGCGCGCGAGGCCACCACAUGACACCACCAACACACGCGAGCAGCAAACAAGAAGAGCCAGCCAGCCCCCCCCGCCUCCCUUUCCAUCCGUCGUCCCCAACCGCCCCCCUCCCUCCCGCAUCACAACAAACGCGCUCUUCUCCGUGCUUCCGGAACUCUCCCCCCGUCCCCAUCCCCACCUCCACCUCCACCGCCACCGCCAUGGCCUCCGUCGCCGCCUCCUCCUCGCCCCUCGCCGCCGCCUCGCUCGCGGUUUCUCGGCGCCCGCACCACGCGCUCCCGCCCGCCCGCGGCCCGCGUCCCCAGGCCCANNNNN
rnacentral:lncRNA from 1 species